rfam:Odoribacter sp. CAG:788 genomic scaffold, scf170
AUAGCAGGCCGUUCUAUCGCUGUCCCGCAAGGGAGAGAGGAAAGUCCGGGCAACACAGGGAACCGUGCUUCCUAACGGGAAGAUAUCCGUGAGGGUAUAGUAACGUAACAGAAAAUAACCGUUCCGGGCGUUUAACGUUUCGGAAUAAGGGUGAAAAGGUGGGGUAAGAGCCUACCGGUAUUCCGGGUGACCGGAGUAGCCGUACGUCUGACGGGUUGCAAGACCAUGUAUACCGACGCUUUAAGCUUUCCCGGCUGAGUCGGGGGGUAGGUUGCUGGAGUUGCAAAGCAAUUUGCAACGUAGAUAAAUGAUAGAAACCGUAAGGUACAGAACCCGGCUUACAGGCCUGCUAUUUUU